rnacentral:rRNA from 1 species
UGCAUGUCUAGUAUAAGCAAUUAUACCGCGAAACUGCGAAUGGCUCAUUAUAUAAGUUAUCGUUUAUUUGAUAGCACGUUACUACUUGGAUAACCGUGGUAAUUCUAGAGCUAAUACAUGCUAAAAAUCCCGACUCCGGAAGGGAUGUAUUUAUUAGAUUAAAAACCAAUGCCCUUCGGGGCUUACUGGUGAUUCAUGAUAACUUCUCGAAUCGCAUGGCCUUGCGCCGGCGAUGGUUCAUUCAAAUUUCUUCCCUAUCAACUUUCGAUGCGAAGGUCUUGUCUUCGCAUGGUUACAACGGGUAACGGAGGGUUAGGGCUCGACCCCGGAGAAGGAGCCUGAGAAACGGCUACUACAUCCAAGGAAGGCAGCAGGCGCGCAAAUUACCCAAUCCCGACUCGGGGAGGUAGUGACAAUAAAUACUGAUACAGGGCUCUUUUGGGUCUUGUAAUUGGAAUGAGUACAAUUUAAAUCCCUUAACGAGGAACAAUUGGAGGGCAAGUCUGGUGCCAGCAGCCGCGGUAAUUCCAGCUCCAAUAGCGUAUAUUAAAGUUGUUGUGGUUAAAAAGCUCGUAGUUGAACCUUGGGCCUGGCUGGCCGGUCCCCCUCACCGGGUGCACUGAUCCAGCCGGGCCUUUCCCUCUGUGGAACCCCAUGGCCUUCGCUGGUCGUGGCGGGGAAACAGGACUUUUACUUUGAAAAAAUUAGAGUGCUCCAGGCAGGCGUAUGCUCGAAUACAUUAGCAUGGAAUAAUAAAAUAGGACGCGUGGUUCUAUUUUGUUGGUUUCUAGGACCGCCGUAAUGAUUAAUAGGGACAGUCGGGGGCAUCAGUAUUCAAUUGUCAGAGGUGAAAUUCUUGGAUCUAUUGAAGACUAACUACUGCGAAAGCAUUUGCCAAGGAUGUUUUCAUUGAUAAGGAACGAAAGUUAGGGGAUCGAAGACGAUCAGAUACCGUCGUAGUCUUAACUAUAAACUAUGCCGACUAGGGAUCGGACGAUGUUAUUUUUUGACUCGUUCGGCACCUUUCGAGAAAUCAAAGUGCUUGGGCUCCAGGGGGAGUAUGGUCGCAAGGCUGAAACUUAAAGAAAUGAC